CAUUACAGAGUUCAUGCCCUUACGGGUAGAUCUCCCACCCUUGAAUAACAUACAUUGUUGCUUUGGCGGACGCUUCGGCAGCCGCCAGAGGACCCUAAACUCUUGUUUACAGUGUCGUCUGAGUACUAUAUAAUAGUUAAAACUUUCAACAACGGAUCUCUUGGUUCUGGCAUCGAUGAAGAACGCAGCGAAAUGCGAUAAGUAAUGUGAAUUGCAGAAUUCAGUGAAUCAUCGAAUCUUUGAACGCACAUUGCGCCCCUUGGUAUUCCGGGGGGCAUGCCUGUUCGAGCGUCAUUACAACCCUCAAGCUAUGCUUGGUAUUGGGCCCUGCCGGCAACGGCUGGCCCUAAAAUCAGUGGCGGCGCCAUCGUGCUCUCAGCGUAGUAAUUUUUCUCGCUGUUGGGUCUCGGUGAACGCUGGCCAGCAACCCCCAAUUUUUCAGGUUGACCUCGGAUCAGGUAGGGAUACCC
rnacentral:rRNA from 1 species